rnacentral:lncRNA from 1 species
GGGCAGAUGGAAUCAGUUAUGUCAAUUUCCUAAUUGUCUCAGCAUUGCUAGCUCUUCCCAUAGCCAGUGCAGUUUCCAACAAUGCAAUUCUAUCCUGAAGAGUCUCCUUCUCUUGAGCAUAAAUAGAUUGAGUCUCCUUUAAUUCAGAAAUCUUAUCAUCCAACUCAUUCCUCAGUUUUUGCAAACGAGUGUCUUCCUUAUGCAUCGAAGUGGGUAAGGCAGCAUUGUUUACCUCCCCAAGACAUGUUUGGUAGUCUGCAAGGACAACACUUGAAAAGAAACUCCAACUUCUUCAAAUAUGGGGGGCAACCAAAACCUAUAAGGAAGAGCAUGCACAUUUUCAUCCUUAAUUAGCACACGUUGCAUGUGUUUGACAAUUAGGUAAGGCAAAUUCAUAUUUACCCCUACAUGAAAAAUCUUUAUAGUUG